UUGCCUCCUCUGGAAGCUUCUUACAAGCACCAUCAUACAACCUGUGGCCUUUUGUGUCUGGCCUCUUUUAUCUGGCAUUAUGUUUUCCAGACACAUUCAUGCUGUAGCAGCAACUGCCACAUGUCAGAACUUGGCAAAGAAGAUGCAUUUCUGGUUCCUCCUGUUUUACCGAUGAGGAACUGGAGGCAGUUUGGGCGGCUUCUGCAAGGUCACAAAGCUGAUGAGGAAACUGACUCUGCCUGAUUCCAAAUAUCGCCCUUAUCUUCUCUGCUGUCAGUCACCAAGGAAUGAGUCAUUUUAGAAGAAAAUACCAUGGGGGGGGGCCUCCCCGAGGAAGCCGGCUUCCUCCGUCACCUGGAGUAGGGACUCGCUCUCCACGUGGAUGGGGUGAGGUCCCAAGCCCUGGAGGAUGCCCACUCCUGGGUUUCCCCACUAAGCCUUGGCGCUGAAGUCCCCUGGUUGUUUGUGGAUUGGGGACGAUGCCCUGAGGUGAGACUCGGGCGGGUCUCUGCUGUCCUGUCCCCACGAGGGUCAGAGGUGCUGUCGGCGUCUGAUGCUGACCAGCACCUCUCACAGGCUGCACAGCUGGCCAGGGAGGGGGCACCAUCACGGUCCCCAAUCCACAGAUAAGAAUCGGAGGCCAAGGGAAGCCAACCAGUUUGCCCAAGUUCACGGGGUGGGACCCUCGGGGGGCGCUGAGCAGGGCCUCUGAGGCUCCAAGGUCUCAAUGGGGGAAGAGGCUGUGGGAGCCUCCACCACUGGGCUCUCCCGCGCACGCUGCCUCACCUGAAG